CCUGUCAACAAGAGAACACGGGCCUCUGCUGACGGGCACCGGGAGCCCUUUGCUUGCAGCCACCGUGGAAACGCAGCGUCAUUACAAAUCCCAAGUUGUCCCCUCACGGUGAGUCACAGGGCCUCUCAGAACCCAGCGGCUAUUUAUAGAUGAGGAAGUGUCCCCUGAGAGGAUUACAGCUGGACAGUCAACACAGGGCCAAUUUCCCAUGUCAGGUUUACGAUGGACAUAUUGUUUAAGUGCCAAAGUAACACUGCAGGAUCAGACACACUAAUGGAAAAGCUUUUAGACUUCUUGAAACAUAGAAUAAGGGAUUUUCAAACUAAGAGACUUCCUGAAGUCCCCUGAAAUAUCUGGAAAAAACAGAAUUACAGCUACGGUUUUCUACGUUUUCAAUAGCGAACGGAAGGCUGAAGUGCCCUUCGGGGUCUCUUCUGCUGGCUUUCUUCUUUACUACAGAGCUUCUACAGAGAUCCAACUGCAGAGACCCCCAACCCAAAGAAACCUAGGUACUCCUGGAGUCGGCCACUUAGAUGUCGCAAAGGGACUUUAAAUCUCUCGCCACCAUACUGAGAAGAACAGAAGAAGAGAAUGAAUCCUCUCCUGGAGGGAGUGAAGGUGUGACCCAUGAGGCGCUGACACCCGCUGCAGCCCGGGAGAGGACGAUGCGGUCUCCAAGACAGACACGAAUGCCCGCAGGGCAGCCACAGCAUCUCCAGCGGCCCGGGCCCUAGAACGAGUCUCCUGCGAGAAGCUCCGGCACCGAUCCAAGCCUCCCUUGGACCGGGGAGAAGAAAAUGUACCCUUCACCCCACGAUGUGCGUAGGCUGAACGUGGAGCAAGGAGCCCUGUCGGUGCCUCAGUGGCCCUGCCAACCUUGACCUGCUGACCCCCGUCCAGGAGCCUCCAGUUUCCUGUACCUUCCCGCCUCCCGGGUUCCCUCCUGCUGCCACACCUCGGGUGCCCCGCUCUCCCACCGCUGACUGAAGUCCCCAGCAACCUCCGUCAUGACUCUCCUUAGUCAACUGUGACUUCUUCCCUGUCGCUUUGAUUUGCACUGUCUUUUCUAACACUGAUCAUGCCUCUGAACGCGGGCCCUGGCUCCGCCUCCCUCGGUCUAUCUGCGUCUUGCCGAGGGCUCUGUGCGUGUGCUUAAUAAACAUUUGCUGAAA